UAACCUGCCCAUAAGACUGGGAUAACUCCGGGAAACCGGGGCUAAUACCGGAUAACAUUUUGAACCGCAUGGUUCGAAAUUGAAAGGCGGCUUCGGCUGUCACUUAUGGAUGGACCCGCGUCGCAUUAGCUAGUUGGUGAGGUAACGGCUCACCAAGGCAACGAUGCGUAGCCGACCUGAGAGGGUGAUCGGCCACACUGGGACUGAGACACGGCCCAGACUCCUACGGGAGGCAGCAGUAGGGAAUCUUCCGCAAUGGACGAAAGUCUGACGGAGCAACGCCGCGUGAGUGAUGAAGGCUUUCGGGUCGUAAAACUCUGUUGUUAGGGAAGAACAAGUGCUAGUUGAAUAAGCUGGCACCUUGACGGUACCUAACCAGAAAGCCACGGCUAACUACGUGCCAGCAGCCGCGGUAAUACGU
rnacentral:rRNA from 2 species